CACAUCACAACCCUAACAACUACCCAUCUAGGACACCAAACACCAGGUCCGUCACAUAAACAACACUUACAGCCACCCAUCUAGAACACCAGACACCAGACACCAGGUCCGACACAUAACUAACACUUACAGCCACCCAUCUAGAACCCCAGACACCAGGUCCGACACAUAACUAACACUUACAGCCACCCAUCUAGAACACCAGACACCAGGUCCGACACAUAACUAACACUUACAGCCACCCAUCUAGAACACCAGACACCAGGUCCGACACAUAACUAACACUUACAGCCACCCAUCUAGAACACCAGACACCACACACCAGGUCCGACACAUAACUAACACUUACAGCCACCCAUCUAGAACACCAGACACCACACACCAGGUCCGACACAUAACUAACACUUACAGCCACCCAUCUAGAACACCAGACACCACACACCAGGUCCGACACAUAACUAACACUUACAGCCACCCAUCUAGAACACCAGACACCACACACCAGGUCCGACACAUAACUAACACUUACAGCCACCCAUCUAGAACACCAGACACCACACACCAGGUCCGACACAUAACUAACACUUACAGCCACCCAUCUAGAACACCAGACACCACACACCAGGUCCGACACAUAACUAACACUUACAGCCACCCAUCUAGAACACCAGACACCAGACACCAGGUCCGACACAUAACUAACACUUACAGCCACCCAUCUAGAACACCAGACACCACACACCAGGUCCGACACAUAACUAACACUUACAGCCACCCAUCUAGAACACCAGACACCAGGUCCGACACAUAACUAACACUUACAACCACCCAUCUAGAACACCAGACACCACACACCAGGUCCGACACAUAACUAACACUUACAGCCACCCAUCUAGAACACCAGACACCAGGUCCGACACAUAACUAACACUUACAGCCACCCAUCUAGAACACCAGACACCACACACCAGGUCCGACACAUAACUAACACUUACAGCCACCCAUCUAGAACACCAGACACCAGGUCCGACACAUAACUAACACUUACAGCCACCCAUCUAGAACACCAGACACCAGACACCAGGUCCGACACAUAACUAACACUUACAGCCACCCAUCUAGAACCCCAGCCACCAGACACCAGGUCCGUCACAUAACUAACACUUACAGCCACCCAUCUAGAACCCCAGCCACCACACACCAGGUCCGACACAUAACUAACACUUACAGCCACCCAUCUAGAACCCCAGACACCAGGUCCGACACAUAACUAACACUUACAGCCACCCAUCUAGAACCCCAGCCACCACACACCAGGUGCGACACAUAACUAACACUUACAGCCACCCAUCUAGAACACCAGACACCAGGUCCGACACAUAACUAACACUUACAGCCACCCAUCUAGAACACCAGACACCAGACACCAGGUGCGACACAUGCACAACACUUACAGCCACCCAUCUAGAACACCAGACACCAGACACCAGGUGCGACACAUGCACAACACUUACAGCCACCCAUCUAGAACACCAGACACCAGACACCAGGUGCGACACAUGCACAACACUUACAGCCACCCAUCUAGAACACCAGACACCAGACACCAGGUCCGACACAUAACUAACACUUACAGCCACCCAUCUAGAACACCAGACACCAGACACCAGGUCCGACACAUGCACAACACUUACAGCCACCCAUCUAGAACACCAGACACCAGACACCAGGUGCGACACAUGCACAACACUUACAGCCACCCAUCUAGAACACCAGACACCAGACACCAGGUGCGACACAUGCACAACACUUACAGCCACCCAUCUAGAACACCAGACACCAGACACCAGGUGCGACACAUGCACAACACUUACAGCCACCCAUCUAGAACACCAGACACCAGACACCAGGUGCGACACAUGCACAACACUUACAGCCACCCAUCUAGAACACCAGACACCAGACACCAGGUGCGACACAUGCACAACACUUACAGCCACCCAUCUAGAACACCAGACACCAGACACCAGGUCCGACACAUAACUAACACUUACAGCCACCCAUCUAGAACACCAGACACCAGACACCAGGUCCGACACAUGCACAACACUUACAGCCACCCAUCUACUACUGC
rnacentral:lncRNA from 1 species